rnacentral:rRNA from 1 species
UACGGGGGGGGCAAGCGUUGUUCGGAAUUACUGGGCGUAAAGGGCUCGUAGGCGGCCAACUAAGUCGGAUGUGAAAUCCCCAGGCUUAACCUGGGAACUGCAUCCGAUACUGGAUGGCUUGAAUCCGGGAGAGGGAUGCGGAAUUCCAGGUGUAGCGGUGAAAUGCGUAGAUAUCUGGAGGAACACCGGUGGCGAAGGCGGCAUCCUGGACCGGUAUUGACACUGAGGCGCGAAAGCCAGGGGAGCAAACGGG